rnacentral:rRNA from 1 species
AGUGAACGCUGGCGGUAGGCCUAACACAUGCAAGUCGAACGGCAGCACAGUAAGAGCUUGCUCUUACGGGUGGCGAGUGGCGGACGGGUGAGGAAUACAUCGGAAUCUACUUUUUCGUGGGGGAUAACGUAGGGAAACUUACGCUAAUACCGCAUACGACCUACGGGUGAAAGCAGGGGAUCUUCGGACCUUGCGCGAUUGAAUGAGCCGAUGUCGGAUUAGCUAGUUGGCGGGGUAAAGGCCCACCAAGGCGACGAUCCGUAGCUGGUCUGAGAGGAUGAUCAGCCACACUGGAACUGAGACACGGUCCAGACUCCUACGGGAGGCAGCAGUGGGGAAUAUUUGACAAUGGGCGCAAGCCUGAUCCAGCCAUGCCGCGUGGGUGAAGAAGGCCUUCGGGUUGUAAAGCCCUUUUGUUGGGAAAGAAAAGCAGCAGGUUAAUACCCCGCUGUUCUGACGGUACCCAAAGAAUAAGCACCGGCUAACUUCGUG